rnacentral:misc_RNA from 1 species
CCGAGUCUGACAACUCAUCGACCCUGUGAACAUACCUAAACGUUGCUUCGGCGGGAACAGACGGCCCCGUGAAAACGGGCCGCCCCCGCCAGAGGACCCCCCAAUCUCUGUAUCCAUCAUGUUUUUUCUGAGUAAACAAGCAAAUAAAUUA